GGAAGUGAGGGGUGAGGGCGGCCUGCUCGAGGAGCUUGGUGGAGGUGUUGAGAAGCUCUGACCAGCCGCCCAUCUCCGUAUCUCCUCCGCCAUCGGCUCCGACGCCGGCCAUCGCCGCCGUAGAUGGAGGUGUUCACGGGGAGCUAUCUGUGCUCCGGCGCCGCGCUCGAACUGGGGGUUUUGGACUGGCGAACCCUAUUGGACGCUCGUUAGCGUCAGAAUGUUGAGCCUUCGCUGAGGCGACCGUCCGGUUGGGCCGGCCCACGUACGGCAUUGUGUUUUGCUCGUCCGCCGUUUCCUGUGUGUUUUUUUCUGUGGUUUUUUCUUUCGAUUUUCUCAAUGUUUUGUCUGGUUUUUCAAUUGUUUUGUUGUGUUUUCUUCAGUUGCCUUUUUUGUUUUGUUUUACUCUCUGGUUAUUUCAUGUUCUUUUUUUCUGGUUUUAUCUUUUUCUUUCUUUUCUUUAUUUUCUUUCUCUUUUCUUUUUUUCAUUUUUCGUCCAUUAAUACUUUAUAAGGAAAUGUUUUGUCGUUUAUUUUUGCAUUAUGAGGAAAUGUUUUGAUGAAUAAUUUGUGUUUCUUGUAUUUAUUUUGUACUUUUUCUUUUUAUUUUUGUGUAUUAUAUAAGAGUUCAUCGUGGAUUACAAAAAUGUUCAUUGUAUAUUUAACAAAAGAUUCACUGUACAUUAGCAAAAUGUUUAUUGUGCAUUUAAAAUAUGUUUAAUGUAUAUUACUAAAUGUUUAAUCUGUAUUUCCAAAUUAUUUAAUGUAAAUGACAAAUGUUCAAUGUCUAUUUUCAAAUUGUUCAGCAUAUAUCGCAAAAUGGUUCCAUGUGUUUUUUCAAAUUGUUCAACGUAUGUCAAAAAAAGGUUCAAUGUGUAUUUAAGAAAUGUUCAUUGUAUAUUACGAAAAUGUUCAAUGUGUAUUUUCAAAUUAUUUAUUGUAUUGACAAAUGUUUAAUAUGUAUUUCCAAAUUGUACGACGUAUAUCACAAAAUGGUUCCAUUUGUUUUCUCAAAUUGUUCAGCGUAUAUCACAAAAGAUUCAAUGUCUAUUUAAGAAAUGUUCAUUGUAUAUUACGAAAAUGUUCAAUGUAUACUAUAAAUGUUCAGUGCUUGGAUUUCUUUAUCUUUUUAUCUAUUACUAUAUUUAGUUCAGAAAUAAUUUGCUAUCCAUGAUGGUAGCUACGCAUGACCCUAAUUUUUUAUCUUUAAUUAUUAUUAUAAAUUACUUUGANNNNNNNNNNNNNNNNNNNNNNNNNNNNNNNNNNNNNNNNNNNNNNNNNNNNNNNNNNNNNNNNNNNNNNNNNNNNNNNNNNNNNNAAUAAAAAAUAAAAAUAAAAAAUUGGGGUCAUGUGUGGCUACCAUCAUGGGUAGCAAAUUAUUUGUGGAUUUGAGAGCUGAUUUCCUUGCACAAUUGUUUGGAUUUUUUUUAUUGAUUCAUGUUAUUAUAUUAUCAUUUUAGGAUACUUUUUUAUAUUUAAUUUCUAUUUUAUAUUAUUUUUGAGCACUAACCUAUUAACCCGGUGUCAAGUACCAGUUGAUGUUUUCUAUAUGUUUUCGCUUUUCAGGAAUAUUGUACCAAUCAAAGUCGAAAUACCCAGAAACUUUUUGAUGAUUUUUUGGACAAAAUAAGACUUGGAAGCUUCACAAAAAGACCAGAAGGCACACGUGGUGCCCCCAAGCUAACAAGACACGCCCAGGGGGUGUUCGCGCCCUGAUGGCUUGGGGCCACCUCCCAGCUCCUCUGGCACUGAUUUGUUUGCUAUAAAUUCAUGUAUAUGUGGAAAACCCUAGAGAGCAUCCCGAAACAUUUUUUCGCUACCGCAAGCUUAUGUUCCGCCGUGUGCCCAUCUGGUCCCUGUUCCGGUGCCUUGUCAGAGGGGGUCGAUCACAGAGGGCCUUUACAUCAACCUUGCUUCUCCCAUGGUGAUGUGUGAGUAGUUAACCACAAACCUGUGGGUCUGUAGUUAGUACCUUGAUGGCUACCUCUCUCUAUGUUCUUCAUUGCCAAGAUCACCGUGAUUCCCGCGGUGAUCUAUCUUAUGUAAUCACUCUUGUGUUGGGCGUUUGCUGGGAUCUGAUGAAUUGUGGGUUUAUGUUCAGAUUAUUCAUGAGAUUACAUUGAGUUCCUUGGUUGUCUUUCAUAUAUAUGCAUGAUUAUGAUAGCUUCGUAAUUCUCUCUGUGCUAUAAAUUUGGUUUGUCCAACUAGAUUAAUUUAUCGUUAGUGGGAGAGGUGUGUUGUAGUGAGCUCAAACUUGCGGUGCUCAAUCCAAGUGACAGAAAGGGUGACACAUAUUGUAUUGCUACCACUAAGAGUAAAACGAUGCGGUUCAUUCGUAUUAAUUGGAUUUACUUUCUCUACAUCAUGUCAUCAUCCUCCAAAGAUUACUAUGUUUUUUACUUAAUACUCUAGAUGCAUGCUGGAUAGCGGUCGAUGGGUGGAGUAACGGUAGUAGAUGCAGGGAGGAGUCGGUCCGGUCUACUUUCUUACGGACAUGAUACCUAUAUGUAAUGAUCAUUUGCAUGAAUAAAUAUUGCAUAACUAUGUGCUUUUCUAUCAAUUUUCUAAUAGUGAUUUUUUACUCACCAUAUGCUUUCUACGAGAGACAAGCCUCUAGCGAAAACUCUGCCCCCCGGGUCUCCUCACAAAUAUAUUUACAAAAACUCUAAAUACCUUGUUGCCAUUAUUUAAUUUAUGUUUAUUUUCUAUUUGUAUUUAUCAAACUAUCUAUCUAUCACUACUUAUCGCUUGCAAGUAAUGAGCUCAAGGGGAUUGACAACCCUCUUGCCCGCGUUGGGUGCAAGUGUGUGCUCUUUUGUGUAGGCGCUCAAGACGGGAAAUUGCUUGGUCCUCCUAUUGGUUAGAUAACCUUGUUCUCACCGAGGGAAAUACUUACCUCUAAUGUGAUGCAUCAUUGAUACUUGUGAUUUGCGUUAGGUUUUCCAUGAAGAGGAUCAGGUAGCACAAUGCGGGUAAGUAUUUCCCUCAAUUAAGAAACCUAAGUUUAUCGAACAAUAGGAAUAUCAAUCCUCAACAGUCUAAAGCGGAUGCACACAAAAGAGCAAACAACUUGCACCCAACGCGGGCAAGAGGGUUGUCAACCCCCUUGAUCUCGCUAUUUGCAAGCAAAUGAGGUGUGUAGAUAAUUGUAACUUGCAAAAUAAAAUAUAAAAAUAAUAAUAGCGAGGAAAUUAUAAGUUUUGUGAAUAUAUAAGUGAAUAGACCCGGAGGCCAUAGUGUUCUCUAGUGGCAUCUCUCAUGAAAGCAACAUAUGGUGAGUAAACAAAUUACUGUUGGGCAAUUGACAGAACAACGGAUAGUUAUGCGAUUUUCACGGCAAUGAUCAUGUGUAUACAUGCAUCACGUCCAUAAGCAAAUAGGUCGACUCAUGUGUGUACUUACUACUAUUACUCCACCCAUCUACUGCUAUCCAGCAUGCAUAUGGAGUAUUAAGUAAAACUAAGUAAUGCUGGGAGAACGAUGACAUGAUGUAGACAAAGUAAACUCAACCAAUAUGAAUAAACCCCGUCGUUUUAUACUUCAUGGCAGCAACACAAAGACGAAACUUGUCCCCUUUUGUCACUGGGAUAUAGAAACUCGCCAGGUUGAACCCACUACAACGCACCCCUCUCACUUAAGAAAUAUCAAACUACUUGGCCAAAGCAAUUCAAUAUAUCAGAGAAAAUUAUGAAGCUAUGAUGAUCCUCUCCNNNNNNNNNNNNNNNNNNNNNNNNNNNNNNNNNNNNNNNNNNNNNNNNNNNNNNNNNNNNNNNNNNNNNNNNNNNNNNNNNNNNNNNNNNNNNNNNNNNNUCAUCAACAUGCAAGGGCUUUGAAGAAGCCUCCGGUGCCAUCACCACAAUGAUGAACCGGCAUCGUGAUCACAUGUAACGGGAAAAUACCAACUAUAGUAGCAUGCAACAAUGUUUGUGCUCAAGUCAUGGUCAAAGGGCUGCUUGCCUUGGUCAGCUAGGUAUCCGGGGUCUUCGAGGUCUUCCGCUCCGGAUCCUCCGUCACUCGGUAACUCUACCAUCGAGAAAGGAAUAAAUAAAUAAUAGCUCACACCAAAACAGAUCACAAGGUGCUUUUAAAAAUGUUGCAAAGCUUGAAUAAAUUCAGUUUAUUAUUUUGGAAAAUGUUUCCUAUGGUUUUUAUUAGCUAAGCAUAUUUAUUUAAAAGCAAACAAGAGCAAACAAAUGCUUUUAAUAUCAUUUUAUUAUACCAAAACAGGUUCUGUUUUUGAUAAAUGUCAAAUCUACAGAAUCAAUUACUACACAUUUUUAGAAAAUUGUUGGUGGAAGAAUCAUAUUUUUCUACUCGCUAAAUAUUUUUAUAAAAAUCAUUUAAGCUGCAGGUUAAAAAUGAAAGAAAAAGGCCAAGGGGGAGACCCAGUCGGCCCAGCCAGCAGACCGGCCACCAAGCGCGCGCGGGCCAGGUUCAAACCUGACUUGCGGGCCCCUGGGUCAGUGUCAGCGGCUGCGCGCGCUGGCUGCCCCAGGACACCGAUAGGUGGGCUCCACCUGUCGGGUCCUUCUCCUUCCUCCAGCCAGAGAGGUGGAGACGGACGUCGUCGAGGCUACCGUUGCCCUCAGGCCAAUCUAGGAGCGGGAAUGGAUCCCUCGUUCUUCCGCCUACCUGCUCGUGGUCGGGACGUCACCGGAGGUGGUCUGGGUCGCCGACGACGAGGUUAUCGUGGCGGAAAGGUUUCGGGCUGGCGUCAAGCUAGUGGCUAGGGGCACGGACCCGCUCGUGGAAGUUGGGGGAAAUGAUCCUGGCGUCAAGGGGAGUGCAAUGGGAGGUCGGGCGGCGCAGGAGCCGGCGUGUAGCCGGAGAUCGACCGGAGCUCCGAGGCGGAGGGGCCUCGGUCGAUCUCGAGCACCGGGGCUCUGCGAGCUCGAUUGGGCGGCUAGGGGGAGUCUAGUGGUUGUGCUAAAGCUGCCUGGGGGGUGCUGGGGUGCCGGGGGGACCUAUUUAUAGGCCAGCGGCGGUGAGCCGACUCGGGCGCGCCGGUGACUCACCGUGGCGCGCGUGCGAGCAAAGUGAGGUGCUGGCCGCGAAACCACGGGUUCGGGACGUGGUUUAGGACCUCUUGGUGCAUCGCCGCAGAGGAAAAGCGAUUGGGGUCGAGCCGCAGCGACCGUGCAUGCUCGGUUGCAUCGGGCGCGCGCGGGCACGCGUCGCCUAAGCUCUUGCGCGAGGAGAGGGGGCCCCUGAUGGUAGCUUUGCACAGAGUGGGUGUCGGGGGAGUGUUGGACAUUACUAGGGGGGGUUGGAACUGGCCGGGGCGACGUCCCCUUGCUGGAGGCUCUCUGUAGCGCGCCCAGAGCGCAGUUUUGGCAUGCCACGGCAUGCUGGCGCGCUCUGGGGCACUUGGCACGUGUCCUCCAUGUCCUGAGUGUUGCUGGGAGUGUGCCUGGUCGUUGUGUGUUAGUGGGAGCACGAACUGGUCAAAGGAGGCAAGGAACACCAGUGUUGCCAGUACUGGCUUGCGGCUCAAAUUGAAGAUCUUGUCACUAGUGCUUGGAGUUGGGGAGGGGCUGGUUGACUAGGUGCUCAGGGUGUUCUGGGGCUAUAACUCACCAAGUUUGGGGCUUUGCCAUUGGGUAAAACAGUGGCUAGGAGGGUUUUUACCUUCCUGUCAAUAGGUGUUCGAUAGUGAUUUGGGGUGCUUCCACUCCAACACUGGAACUGAAACUUAACAGGUUUGGUCUUGGGGUAAAAACAUGGGGUUUCACCAAAUUUGAGCUCCAUUGAACAAGUUUAGCUUUGUAAACUUGANNNNNNNNNNNNNNNNNNNNNNNNNNNNNNNNNNNNNNNNNNNNNNNNNNNNNNNNNNNNNNNNNNNNNNNNNNNNNNNNNNNNNNNNNNNNNNNNNNNNAUAGUUUCAAUGAUAUAUUCGUGCUGAUCCACUUGAACUUGCACGCCACAAUCUUGAUGACAAUCACCACUUGACGUCAUCCUUCAUGGAUUGUAUGAGAUCUUCCUUUUGACGCAAGCCCAUGGAAGCACACCUAACCCCCACAUAGGACUCUCACAAAGAACAUGAGUUAGUACACAAACACGUAAUGGACAAUGCUUACCAUACCAUGGGAUCACUUGAUCCCUCUCGGUACAUCUUAUACGCUUUGUGUGUUGAUCAUCUUGAUUUACUCUUUGUCUGAGAUCUUGAUCAACCUAGUGUCUCUAUGACCAUUCUUUGGAUAAUACCUUGAAUACCAUCUUGGUCAUCAUAUAAACUCCCUGAACCCAACAGAUGGACUUCAAGAAGUGCCUAUGGACAAAUCCUAUAAAUAUAACUUAAGGCAACCAUUAGUCCAUAGGAAUUGUCAUAAAUUACCAAAACCACAUAUGGAGAUAUAUGCUCUAACAAUCUCCCCCAUUUUGGUAAUAGAUGACAACCACUUCAAGAGAGUUUAUAUAAGGAAAUAAGCAUAACCAAGUGCACACAUACAAAGCAAUAAUGCAUGCGUGCAAGAUGUAAAUGCUUACGCAAUAGAAGCAAAACCCUCUAAACAUAUCCAAAGUAAACUCUCUAAACUUCUCCCCCAUUGGCAUCGAUUGCCAAAAUGGACGAAAAGUUUAGAAAGCCAAUAUAGUAGGUGGUCCUCCAAAAAGUGUGUACUUCUCAGCAAAUGAGUGCAGAGAAAUACACAAAUACAAUGAUAAGUAGUUGGAGGAAAACAAACUAUAUUGAGGACCCAAAGAUUGCAAAUAAAAGGAUCGUAUGCCACAAAGACAUACAAAAAAUAGAGGCAAGCAAUCAAAAGAUUCCAGAUGGAACAAACAAUCACAUGGUCCUUUGAACCAUAUGAAUAAAACAUAUUAUGAUAAAGGCAACAUAGUGUUUUAUCAAAAACUAGAGAAGCUCCCCAUGAUUUGUGCACUAAUGCGAGAUUUUUGUAUUUGAUACAGGUGCACAAAAUAGGAUCGUUGCUCCCCCAAAAUUAAUAAAAACACACAACGAGUGCAAGAAGAUAGAUGAGACAAUAAGCAUAUCAAUUGCACAAAACAAAUGGUUGAGCAACAUGUAAAAUAAGCAACUUAAGAAUAGGCUCAACCAAAGUAAUGUGUGUGAGUCAUGGCAAAGCACUUGAGAAGACUAAGAUAAGGAUGAGCAUUACUCAUCAACAUAGUCUUGAUGAAAUGAGAUACAAAGUGAAGACAUAUCAUUCCCACACACACAUACUAGAAAAUGGGUUCACAAGCUUACUAAUAAACAAAAUAAGAACCAACGCUUGUGACAACCCAUUGUGAAGAUAGGAAGUAAGAACCUUGUCAAGAGGAGGGAUACUAAUUGAAAUGGCAAAACCCUCAUCAAGACAAGCAUGAGGAAAAAUAAUCUUCAUGGCCAAAGAGUGCAUCAAGAUGUAGGAAAAUAAGAUACACACUCAAAACAAAUCCUUUCACGAAGCCACCAAAAACUGAAAAAGGAAAUGCAACGGUGGACGUGAAAGAAAAGAGGAUAUCAAUUAGAGAUGUAACUUCUCUCAUGUGUAAAAGAUUCUAAGUAGAAGACCAUCAUGAUGAUAUAUAUCCACAAAGAAGGAUGUACACACGAAAUGGUUACAAGAAGGAACAAACUAGAUAUCCAAAAGGAAGUCAUAAAUAUAUCAAUGAGAUCUUUUGCUUGGAAGCAGCACAUGGCCUAAUAUUUUCUUAUUGUACAAUACGAACUUCCAACAUAUGAACAUCAAAGACAUCCCAACUAGUAGUAAGACAUCAUCGUUCGGAUGCUUUGAGAAAGCAAACAAGUACUACAAGAACGAAUCAAGAGAUUCAUGCCAUGAUGCAACCUGGAAAAGAAAAGACAGGUUGGGGCCUUUGCAAGAAAAGAAUGCAUGAAGUGGAUACUUGUUACCGAGACAACAUUGGAUUGAUGUAGUAGAUAGUUGUUCUUUGAUCAUCCUAACUUGGCUCCAAUAAUCACAUGGUCUCAACACCUUCCUUAUAGGUGAGCCGAGCAUCCAAUGCAUCUCCAGUUGUUCCUGGAAAAACACAACAAACAAAAUGGUGCCCAAACUCAUUGGGACCAAAGAGUUAGAAAACCAGCAAUACAUCGGACAAACUCCACAUACAUAUGUGCAUAUAGAUAUGAAUUUGAAUUUCAUGCACACUUUAGCCAAUUUAUGACAAGGUGGAGUUUCCCCUAUAUAUUGGGUCAAAGAAUGAAAGAAAGAAAAAGAAGUUGUAUUUAGUAGAUAUGCAUGCUCAAGACUCUCAAGAAUCAACUCAACACAAAGUUGAUAAGUCACCAAAAGACAAGGUAUCAAGUGAUAAUAAGAUCCUAAACAAAAAGAACUAUCACUUGAAGGAUAUCAAUUAAAAGAUACCUCGAGGAAUGAGAUAUCCAUUGACACAUGCCAAAUAAAAGGAAACAAGAAACCAAUUGAAGGAAAACAAACACGAGGUAUCUAAUUUCCAAAAGAGAGCUAGGUUCCAACACACCAAGCCCUCGACAAAUUUUCAUGAUGGCACAAAGCAUCGUAAAGAGCAAGACUUGCCUCCCAUCAACACACACUUGAUGGGGAUCAAAAGAUUUUAUGAUGGGUGAAUAAAGAGAGUGUUCCAAAGAAAAUAGGAUAGCUCCCCCAAGGGACGUGCAUUAUAUAGAAUUUGCAUUUAAAUACAAAAAUGCACAAGAUGGGAUCAUCACUUUCUCUAUAUCUAUAAAAACACUAGACAUGUUAAAAUAGAUCCAUAAGAGGCAAGGAAGACAAACGAAACACAAAAUCCAAUGUAAAGACGAUUAGCAAUUCCUAUCACAUGAUGGGAAUACCAAUUGUCAAGGACAAGAAGUAUUUUGGAAGUGAUACUCAUUGGUAGAUCGCAAAUAUAUCCAAGAUCAUCUUUACCCAUAAAACGCAAGCAAAUGACACUUGUAGAGCUAACAUGCCACCUAGGAACAAGAUAAUUUACAAUAUCAACACUAAGUGGCAACACCUCAAAUGUACACAUUUUCUAGGUUUGUAAUAUGCACAUAGCAUAUUACUCCCCCAUAAUGUGAUAAACCAACAAUAUUAACAAGUGGCAAAUUAAAACCAACAAGAGAUAAUUAAUGGACCAUAUAGAAUUUGAAUUUCUCAUGAGUAAGACUCACCACAUAGAAACUAGAUAAUCUUGAAAUAUCAAUAAUAAAGUGGUAUUCCCCAUGUAUACACAUUUAUAGGAUUGUGAGGUGUGCAAAGCACAUCACUCCCCCAUAAUGGGAUAAUCCAUUAAUCUCUCACAAGAGCCAACAAAGAUACAAACAAGAUGCAAAAAGGCUCAAUACAAGACUCACAUGUACAUGAUAUGCAAACCAACAUACACAUACUCGAUUACUCAAGAUAAGCAAGUUGUAAGCACAACAUAUGCAAAAGCAUGCAAGGUACAAAACCACAACAUGCCAAGGGGCAAGCAACUAACAAUGUAAACAAUUUAAGUACAAGUUACCGUAAUGAGGCACAUUGGAUAUAAGAUAGAAACUCGAUAAUCCAAAUGACUCGGCUUGAGAUAAUAUGAAUGAUGAAGACCCCUUAAUUCUUCAUUAUGUAUCCAAGUCUCUAAUGUCCUCCAUAGUCACCUAUUGAUCAAGUUUGAGCUUGUUGGUCUGUAAUGCCCCAAGUGUAGGUCUUUCCCUUUUUGUAACCUUCCAUGUNNNNNNNNNNNNNNNNNNNNNNNNNNNNNNNNNNNNNNNNNNNNNNNNNNNNNNNNNNNNNNNNNNNNNNNNNNNNNNNNNNNNNNNNNNNNNNNNNNNNUGUAAUGCCCCAAGUGUAGGUCUUUCCCUUUUUGUAACCUUCCAUGUGGGGCCACCUUGUCAGAGAUCUUGAUGAUAUCAUUUUGUGCCAUGAUUUCAUGUGUGUUCCUUAGUGCUUACUUCCCUUGCAUGCAUGCAUAUCAUAUCAUUCCUUGCCAUACCUUAUGAUUGCAUGCCAUGAUCAUGUUGCAUUUGUUUUUACUAGGAGUAGUGUUGUGGUGUUGAGAGUGCAUGUGAUCUUGCUAGGGUUAAGUGGUGGUUUUGCACUACCUUGUGAUGCAUGUGAUAAUGGUGGGUGUGAUGUAGGAGUGAGUGCUAGUCAUUUUAAUCUCUUGCUUUUUAAACUCCUUUUCCCUCCUAUUUUUCCCAUGUCAAAAUUCCUUCUUCCCAAAAAUGAUUCUAAAAUGUCUGGUGGUUAGAUAAAAAUGUGUUUAUGAGGGGGUGCAAUUUUUAUGGUUUGUUCUAUGAUUUUUAGAGGUGCAAAUAAACUCAAAACAGUAGGUUAAUUGCUGUUUUGCAUUUAUUUCAAACAUCUCCAAAUAUUGCUUUCCUAUUUUUCCCUACUGGGCCAUUAUUUCUUAUGUCUAGCAGGAUUUUCCUUUAAUUUUUUUAACCCAGUAGUUAUUUUGGAUAAUAUAAUUUUUUCCCUUCCCUCGAUACAUUUGUUUUUCAGUUCACCUAAUUGGAUAACCUCCUGUGUAUUUAUUUUUUUCCCUAGCCCAUUAAGUCUUCUCCCGUGCUGGCCCAGUAGGACUCCACCCCUGGCAACAGAGCCCGCUGUGAGCCAUUCUCUUCUUCCUCCCGACGUCAUGCUGUACGACCUACGCUCCACCUCUCGAUCACUCUCUCCUUGAUCCAGCGGCUCGAGCUCGCCUCCCGAGACGUUCGGGGCCUCCUCCUCCGCCCUAGGGUUCCCACUCCGUUCCCCCCAGCGCCGCCAGUUUCCUCCUUCCCUCGUUCUUCCCUGGUAAGCUUCUGAGAGGCAGCAGAGAGAGAGAGUGCAGCGCCUCCUCCGCUAACCCGCCGUUUCGUCGUCUCCGGCACCGGCCGCCAUGUCCGGGGGCUCGGGGCGGCUCCCCGCGUCCCAUUCCCGGCGCUAGAAGCCCCGGAGAGCGGCCACGCCGACGACCUCGAGCCCGUCCAGGACGUGGCCAUGGUGCUUCUUCCUCCCCGUCGGUCCGGCAGCGCAAGGACGUCUUCGUCGUCGUCUUCUUCCCCUCCGGCGCUCCUCCUUCCUGUUCGGCGCUCCCUCUCCCCCCCCNNNNNNNNNNNNNNNNNNNNNNNNNNNNNNNNNNNNNNNNNNNNNNNNNNNNNNNNNNNNNNNNNNNNNNNNNNNNNNNNNNNNNNNNNNNNNNNNNNNNGGAGAGGAUCAAUCUAUGGAGCCUAACAUCUAAGAGGGGGGAGUGCAUCUACAUACCCUUAUAGAUCGCUAAGCGGAAGCGUAUAUAAUGCGGUUGAUGGAGUCAAACAUCUUAGCGAUCCAAAUCGCAAUCCGUCCCGCCAUCCCGUCACGAUCCGUCGUGCGAUCCCAUCAUGAUCCGUCCCGAUCUAGUGCCGAACGGACGGCACAUUCGCGUUCAACACACGUACAACUCAAUGACGUUCUCCACCUCCUUGAUCCAACAAGAAAGGGUGGAGGGGUAGAUGAGUUCUCCGUCGGCAUGACAGUGGUGGUGGUGUAGCUGUCCCGGUAGGGCUUCGCCAAGCACUACCGGAAUAUCUAGAGGAGGAGACAAUCUAUAGGGAGAGGCUAUGUCGUGGCUUGUGUUGCGACUACCUUCUCUCCUCUCCACUAUAUAUAGGGGGAAGGGAGGAGGGGUGGCGCCCUAGGGUUUUCCCUAUAGUCAGCGGCCAAGAGGUGUCCACCUCCUACAAGGGAGGUGGGGCGCACCCUUACUGGGGAGUCCCUCUCCUCCAGGACUCCUCCCACCUACCACCAUUGCGGCGCAUGGGCCCUUGGGGUUGGUUGCCGAGCCCAUCACGGGCUGGUGCGCCACUUCCUCAGCCCAUGUGCCCCCCCCCCUCGGGAAGGGUGGGCCCUCCAGAUGGACCCCCGAAACCCUUUCGGCACUCCGGUUUAUUACCAGGAACGCCCGAAACCAUUCCAGAGCCCGAAUACCUCUUUCCUAUAUAUCAAUCUUUGUCUCCAAACCAUUCGGGAGCUCCUCGUGACGUCCGGGAUCUCAUCCGGGACUCCGAACAACUUUCGGUUACCACCACACAUAACUCAUUAAUAUCCAAUCGUCAUCGAACCUUAAGUGUGCAGACUCUACGGGUUCGAGAACUAUGCACACAUGACCGAGACACUCUCCGGUCAAUAACCAAUAGCGGGACCUGGAUGUCCAUGUUGGCUCCUAAUAUUCUACGAAGAUCUUUAUCGGUCCAACCACGAUGUCAAGGAUUCAAUCAAUCCCAUAUAAUGUUCCCUUUGUCCAUCGGUAUGUUACUUGCCCGAGAUUCGAUCGUCGGUAUCUGCAUACCUAGUUAAAUCUCAUUACCGGCAAGUCUCUUUACUUGUUCUGUAAUACAAGAUCACGUGACUAACUCCUUAGUCACAUUGCUUGCAAGCUCAUUGUGAUGUUGUAUUACCGAAUGGGCCUAGAGAUACCUCACUAUCAUACGGAGUGACAAAUCCUAGUCUCGAUUCACGCCAGCCCAACACACACCUUCGGAGAUACCUCUAGAGCACCUUUAUAAUCACCCAGUUACGUUGUGACAUUUGAUACACACAAGGCGUUUCUAUGGUGCCCGGGAGUUGCAUGAUCUCAUGGUCAUAGAAACAGAUACUUGACAUGUAGAAAAUAGUAGCGAUAAACUGACACAAUCAUAUGGUACGUUCAUAGUUUGGGUCUUAUCCAUCAUAUCAUUCUCCUAAUGAUGUGAUCCCAUUAUCAAAUGAUAACUCAUGUCUAUGGUCAGGAAACCUUGACCAUCUUUGAUCAACGAGCUAGUCAUUAAAGGCUCGCUAAGGACAAUGUGUUGUAUAUGUAUCCACACAUGUAUUUGAGUUUGCAAUCAAUAUUAUAAUUAAUUUAUUAUUGUCUACAGGGCAUAUUUCCAACAGGACGCUCAGGGCACUGCAGUCGACAGGUGUCCGUCCAACAAUAUUGAUGUUUUACGCAACUUCUUGUGUGGCAACAAUGACGGCAUCGGGGUUUGCAAUUGCUUUUUGAUAGUCCGCCUCAUCUAGCGUGUUUGAGGGGUAGUCGUGCAUGGCUUGUCUAUCUAAAGUCGGGUUGCUAAGAAAGAGCCCUACGAUGACGAUGUCAGAAGACUAACGCAUGGAUAGAUUAUUUGGCAUUUUCUGCAUCUUGAGGGGUAGUCGUGCCUGGCUUGUCUUUCUAAAGUCGGGUUGCUAAGAAAGAGCCCUACGAUGACAAUGUCAGAAGACAGCGAUGACGAAGAAGACAGAUUGUUUGGCAUUGGCUGACGCAAACCUCAAAGCGCUUGUCUACAGCAAUGGCUACAAUGAUGAACCAAUGUUGCCCUGUGAAGGUGUGAAGACAAUGACACUGGAUUACAAUUACAACCUUAACGACCCUUUUCUCCUCGGCAGCGUGUUGUAUCCUUACGUGGGUUGCCAAGUCGCUAUAUGUGCCUUGCUUUGUUUUUACAGGCAUGAUGUUACAGUUUUCACCUGGUCUGUCGUUAAUUAAACAGGCAACUAUUUUCUUCUUAACAAAUGUUGCCAUUUCGAGAGAGAAAACUGUCCGCCUACCAACCAUGCAUGCCGGAGCAAAACCAAGAAGCUGUACCGCCUCACAGGAGAUAAACUGAAAAGAAAACGAGGCUCCGCAAACUUGAAUGCUUUUUUUUUUAGGAACGCACACUUGAAUGUAAAAGAAAAUAAUUCAAAUUCAACACCAAAAAUGACUAGUAGAUGAAUUCUUGAAAAUUAAGCGACAAGACUCGAGAUUCAAGAGGCUGCUGCAACAGCCUUGGAUUUAGUAAUAAAUCAUGAAAAGUGGCAGUUUUCUUGAAUUUUGACACACACAAGAUAGGCCUACAAACAAGACAGACAUGGUUCCACAGACAAACAACCAUGUCCACGCACCAUGGAGCUUUAAACCUUCAACUACCUGUUCAAAUGGUGUUGGGGAAUGGGGAGCUUCCGAUACAGAUAGCCCAUUUCCCUAGCACUUCAGGCCAAACACAAACUAUUCAUAUGCACUGAGCCACCUUCUGGUACAAAUCCUGUGGCCAAUUCCUGCUCAUGUUGCUUGCCACAAGGUUCGCAAUCUGCUCAUCGCAAAAAUAUUGCAUCAGAAAUUGCAGGAGCAUUUCUGUUCCGAUUUAGGAACGUAAAAACAGUUGGCACUUUUUCUUCCCUGGUGAUACCGACAGAAAAAUAAGUAUACGUAUGCAUAGUUAGCAUGAAUGCUGUGUUGUGCACCAGGAAAGGUCUAAUAUCACUCUGUAUUUUCCCUUCUCCAGCUGGUUCAGUUUUGCUAGAGGCAGUCUUUAGAAGCCUGCACACUCACCAUGGAUAAAAUUAUCCUGCAGCUACAUAUCGGCAUAAGGCUAGGCAUAGCUACCAACCUGCCUGAUGGUUGGUUGCUAAGCACAUUUCGCAACAUGUUGGUAGGCCAACACGUGUUUGCCAAAUAGGGACUCUAAAUUUGCCAGAUGUUGGCUUACCCACGUGUUGCCUACGUCUUGGCUAGCCAAAAAUUGGCUAGGGUUAAAUUGGCUACAAAUCAACAGGAUAGACACAAUUGAAAAAAAACAGGAUAGAGAAUACCUUUGACUUGACAGCACGCAGGGUCCCAUCGGUAUCUCUAACAUUGUCCAUGCAGUUUAGAGCAACCUUCAGGAGAUCUGGCACACAAGCUUGAACAUGGGGUGAUAAAUUCCUGAAUACAUCGACUGAUACAUUCGGAGACUGUGGAUCCAAAUGAAGAAAUGGAAGUUUGAUGGUUUCCCUCAGAGCGUCAACAGUUUGUCCAGCACGAGCUAGCCUAUAAAUGUGAAGAAUAGCUUCAAGCUGUCUCAGUACAAUUUGCUGUUCAGAAAUGAGAUCCUUGUCUUGAACACUGCAAGCGAGUUUCCACAUGAUUAAUUAAGUUUUCAAAGCAUAAAUAACCAACAGUCACAUGACGUAAAGCAGAAGAUAGGAGGUAAUUAACCUGGCUUCAGAAGAAUAUCUGGCUGUCUCCAAAAUUUCAUUGCCAGAUUGAAUUAGACCAACAGCACGGCUUUCUCCAUCUAACAUAUUGUGUGCCAGGGCACAUACUGCAUCCGAUAAACACUUGUUUACUGUCUGAAGUGCCAUGGCAAAAGCUCCAACUCUUUUGUGGAUUUCCACCGACUGUUAUUUCAUGUAAAAAGUAAAGUAACAUGAGAUGGAUACAUGAUAGCUCAAACAAGACUGAAUUGCUGCAAAUUAAAAUAUGUCCUCUCAUAGAGUAAAUAUACUUAUACUACAUAGCUCAAUAACAUGAAGUAAAUGGAUUCAGAUACAUGCGCAUCACAUCGAAGUUGAUAAACCAUGCAUGGACAUAUGCCAAUGAAGACUAAUUGAUGGCAUGUCAUCUUGAGAAUACUACUGCAGAAUAUGAUAUGAUAACCAGUGUUCAAGCAGCUAGAAUCAGUCCUAAGACGGGUCAUGUCGCUUUAAGAGCAGAGAAGUUUGAUUCUUUCAACUCAGCUAUGAACGUGAUGAGAUAAAUAAUUCAAUAGAAAUAUAAGUCCAUGACAGUAAUAAAAUAACUUGUGCUCUUGCUGAUCCUUUUGUGAAUCCCAACCUAGGAAGAUACAAAAUAAAAUGUUCCCUAAAUAAAGCAGAAUAACCCAAAAAAUUCUGAAACCAUUUGGGUUCAAGAAUUAAACUUACUUUGUCAUAGAGCCCUGCCUCUUGACACCGAUGGGCGGCUUCAAGCAAAAAUUGCUGCCUACUUCUCCAGUCCAUCAUGUACUUUUUUAGUUCUCCUUCUUCUCCCAUUCCACUUGGACCAAGCAAAAGUUGAAUACCACCAUCCCUUAGUAAUAUCUCUGUGAGCAGUUGCUUCAACAUUGAACUUCGUUGACGUUGUUGAUCAGCAUUCCCUUGACCAAUCCAUGAUACCUCUCCUCCACCCAUUGCAGCAGCAGCCUGUGCAUAAUACUCCAAGGCCAAAUCAAGGUUGCCAUUGCGCAAGUAAACAGAGCCAUAUUGCCGUAUAAUACUGGCAGCUUCUGCGCAAGCAUCCAUUACACCCAUCUUCUGGCCUGAUCCAACUCCCUCAGGGAGAAUACCAUGAUCGGCCAGAGUAAUUGAAAUAUGCACAGCAUCAACAUGGUAUCCUUCCUCUCCAACUUCUUUAGACAAAUAAAGAAUUGCUGGAAGUGAUUGGAUGCUUAAGAGCAGAAUAUAGGGAUAGACCAAGGGAUCUUUUCCACUUUUUGUAUAAUAUGAUGGCUCAAAUUUGUUCAAAUAAUUUUGUAAAUCCUCCAGCGUAUAAGGAACCAAGCCUUCACUCACAACAUUAGAAGAAGAUGCACUGGAGUAUUCCCGCAGAGCUGACAACUUGAACCACAAGAAAUCCUCUAUAGUAUUGAAAAGUGUUGGCAGAUCUUUAAGUAAUCUGUCAAUUUGCCGUCGACAGCCACAAAUUAUGGCAUAAAGAAGCAACUUCUUCCUAUCAUAACCAGGACGCCCUGGUCGGUCACCCAUUCUGAGCAUUUUUUCACAUUCCUCAGAAGCUGUCAGAGCAGUCUCUGAUGACACAGCACCAUUAGUAGUAAUCCAUUCUGCAAGCUGCCAGAGAACAUAUUAUAUGUACUUUUCCUAUUAAUAACAAGUCGACAUCAUUAUUCAUGGAUACUUUACCAGAGGGGCGAAGUUGUAAGCAGCACGAGAUGAUUGAGCAACUUGCCUUGCUUCAUCAUAAUACCCAGUUCUUAAGCAGAAAUAAAUCUACAAAAGAUGGAACAAUAAUGCAUUAAUACAUUUCUCGUUGAAAAGGUACGUACAGAACUUGUAAAGGUCAUAAUAAAAACAAUGAGUUGCAUGAUGAUGAUAAUCCUAUUGUUUUUUUCUCAUGCUACUCUGAAUUAACCAUGUGAUGCUUUAAUCCCACUGACUGGAACAUGUGGAGUUGAUUAGAUGUGAUGAACUGUUCACUAGGAUAUCUUGUGAUAAUUCUAACAUUCUAUAUGGCAUGCCAUGCUUGAUAACCCUAUAUACUUGUCUUGUGCUAUGGAUAGGAUUUCUGAGAUUAAAUCUUUGAGAUCUAUUCAUAGCACCUAUGCCUAUCAACACAAGUUCAGUUUGAUUUGUGAGUAUGGUAUAGAUGACAAGUUCUUGGUUUGAGAACCAUCUAGCAUCAAACAACAUAUCUCAUAGGUGUGUAAUCACGAAAUAAAAUUCAAAUAAAUUGAAUGGCCCCAACAAGAAAUCAUUUUCUGUGGUGAUUGAUAAAUUCUAGUAAGUCCAAAAAUAGGUCAGUCAAUGGCCUACCAUAUGCAUGGUUUCAUGACAGGCCUGAGAAUAAGUUGAACAGAACAGUCUCCCUUUAAAACCAAUAGUUGGACCAUGCUUCAUCUUGAUGCUCUAAUGAAGUGAUAUGCUAAACGUAUCAAUUCCUUGAUUACUGCUCUUAUCUUAUUCUAGUGGCAAUUUUCCAUUUAACCUAUUCAACUUAUUUUCAUGAGUUUUAUGUUGCCAUUACUAGAUAGAAAAAAAAAUGAUGUCCGCUGCAUUUUUUAUUCGAUGUUUAGUAGUACAAUCAAACAGGCAAAUUAAACCUGCUGCCAUGUUGUAUCCACUGGUGGCUGUCUGCGAAGAUCACUUGCAUCAAAGUCUAACACGCCAUGAUCCCUCAACCGGACCUGUCAAUUCAUACAGAUAAAAAAUUUGUAUUUGGUUACAGAUUAAAACAAUGCAGAAAAAAAGGAGGGUUAAUCAUCAAACUCAAAACAGACCCGAAGAAAUGCACGAAUUUUUUGAAGAUUGCCAACCGAUCCACCAAGAGCAGCCUAGAAUCACAAAGCAUAACACACAGAUUAACCAUAAUCAAUCUUUUACAUUAACAGGGUUCACAAAAUAUAAACCAACAAUAAAGGAAAAGAUCAUUUGGUUAGAAAAACUAUUAACAGGAUGGUAGAGGGCUAAUUGAGAAUUUGAGAUAGUACAAAAAAACUAAUAAAUGGAUGCAAGAGUAAAUCAAACAAUUUUUUUUUAAGAAAACACAAAAGACUUGUGUUUCAUUGCAUUGAAAAGGUGGAGUUUUGUUACAAUCCUCCUAGGAGGUCAAGUACAAGUGAAAACAUUGAAACUAGUGCACAUCCCAUGUGGAUGGCAGGAUGACGCGGAGGCCGUGUGCGCCGGCUCUUGCCCACUGUUCGGCCUCUUCCUUGAUCUUGGAUACCAGGGCAUUGAUCUUGGAUACCAGAGUUAAUCAAACAAUCACCACUGACUUCAUCACUAACUACACUAGUAAGUAAAAAAAAUCCUAAAUAGACAGGCAUAUAAGAUCCACUCCAUCUUCAGGGAACUCAAUAACGAAAAGCGACAUGAGAGCACUUGAGAUGCCAAAUUAACACAAUGUCAUAUGUAUAGAACAGAAAUACCAAUAGGCUAUACCACAACACGGGAAAAAUCCAGGUAAAUACAAAACAAAUAUCAUUAUUCAGAAAUCUUACAUAGCACUUGGGAAAUCUUUUUUCAUUUUCAGAAGUGAAUUUGGAUAGAAAUGUUCAGCAAUAAAAUGCUACACAGAAAUACUCACUAGUGCUGGCUGGCUGUUGAUGGUCUCAAUUAUGUAUUUCUCAUAACCCCAUUCAAGGUGUUGCCUUGCUCCAACCACUAGUGACAUUUUUCUUGAAACGUUUCUAUGAGAAGACCCUUCCCCUACUAAGGCCUGAAUUAGACAAACAGGGAAAGCACCUUAAAUAAAUCACAGUGAAAUAAGAGAAACAAGGAUAUGUCAUAGACAUUAUAUAGUUGAUGUUGCAUCCUGUAAUACUGUUCUAUACAAUUAAAGGGUUAUUACCUGAAUCAAGUGCCACACUUUCUGCAUGGUCACUGACUUUGAGCCAGUGGCAUCAAGAGACAAGGACUCGUAAGCAGCUCUGAAAGCUGUAGCAGGCUAACAAAAAAAAAGGUCCCAGUAAGCAUUUGUACAAUUUGGUGCAUCAAGAGAACGUAUUGCCCCGAUGAUAGCAUACAAAAAUAGACACUUAAGAUAUUAAUCAAACCUAAAUUAAUUGGAGAAAAACAGGAUGACAGGCAGACAUGAAUACUAAUCUGCACAUGCCCAAUAAAGCGCUGACAUAUCAAAUCUUGACAUAGAAGCUUACACUGAAAGGCAGACUGCGUCCUCUAGCAUCGUUGAGAUCCUUCACAACCCCCGCGUAAACUGAAGAUUUACUAUCAAUUAUGGUCUUGUUAGGUAUGGGCAUUACUUCCUCAGCAGGCAGCCCUGAUGAAGCUUGAGGACUGGAAGCUGAAGAUGGCAUCAGAGCAUGACGAGACAGACCACCAGCUAGAUUGGUGUUUCUCUUUGGUAAUGUAGAAAGUCGGCUUAGACUCUGCAAAAAAUCUCUCUUCUCCUUCUGCCAGUCAUCCUACAACAAAGUUACUAAAAAAUGUUAGAACUGGACAGUAAAGGUAUGUUUGGAUUGUAAAUAAAGUGUACCCUGCCAAUUCUUUGGUAUGACCAAAACAUUGGUCUUUUUUUGGAUGAGGACCAAUAUUUCGGCAUGCCAAUGCUCCUUUCCCAACCUAGUUCAUUUAAUUUUUUCUAGCCAAUGUUGGCUGAUUCAUGGGCAAGCAAAACCUCAACCAAAAAUUUGGUUAGCCAAUUUUUUGGUAGGGCAACCUUGACACAAACCAAACACACCCUAAAACAAAUCAAAGCAUCCACUACCAAAGCAUAUUAAAUUGCUAAGUUGUCAGCAUAGCAACUGAAAAAUGAAGGCAUUAGCUCAAUGGUAGAACUUGCUCUGAGCUGUUAGUUACAACACCUAGCAUUACAAAACUACCACAAAUAUUGCUACUUUCUGAAAGGUGCAACAGAUUUGAUUCAAAUAAGACGAACUAAAGCACGGAUGGUAGUGGUACAGACCUCAAAGGCUACCCUGACAUAUCACAUAUAUCAAGAUGCUCCAAAAGGUUGCAAUAUUAACUUAUGAAGGCAUUAUCGUAGCUACUAGCUCUGCUACAAAAAUAAAUCUGAAUAGAAUACAAGCAAAAGGCAACAAACCUCAAGAACUUGCAUCAUAUAAUUGUUAAAACUCUUUAAGUUGUCCUUUUGUGCUCCUUGGAUGGAUGAGACAAUUGCCAUUUCAUGAAGCUGAAACCACAAACUCGGUGAUGCACUCCAUGAAAUUCAGAAGAAAAAUAGCUAAAGAGAGAAAAGGUGUUCACCUGUUGCAGGUAUUCCUCGACAGAAGUUGCUUCCGAUGGAAAAACAUCCUCAAAGGUGGUCUACAAUUAAAAAAAAUGCCACUAUGAUGUAUACUGAUAACAUGUUGCCUGAGUGAUAUUCAAGAGCUGUAGAUGUACAGUAACAAGCAAGCGGAUAUAUACAUUGACCAACAGGGUAGAAAACAAUAUUGAGGUAAUACGUGCUGGCCUAAUUGGUGGCGAAAGAUUGUUACACUAUGAUAAGUAGUAAAAUCUGACUUGACCACUCACAACAAUAUUUUCUGACUUUGAGUAGGAAACUUUACAUGAAAACACUACAUUGCCUCAACUGAGACUAGAAAACAUUGUUUCAGAUAAGCGAGUGAUUUGCAGCCUCCAGACAUAGGGAGUGUGUAUUAAUAAAGUGGAUUACAAGCUCAAAAAAAGACUAGGGAAUGUGUGUCUAAAAGUUAAACUAGGAUCUUAUGUAAGAAGCUAAGAAGGUGACGUUAUUCAUGUUAUUCUUUUCUUUCAGGCAACCAGCACGAGUUCUGCCUCUUCGUGAAGUAAGGAAGUUAUUAAUACUGCUAAUCGAAAAAAACAAGUGAAGAGCCCCGAUAGUCGGCUAUGGAUGAAAGAAAAAAGAGUGCAGCACAAAAUGUCAAGACUACGAAAAUCAACUGCCUCGUCUAAACGACCGACACAUAAGAUUAUCUAUAUAGCAUUCUCUGAAAUGAACCCUGCAUGCAUUUUCCAGGUUUACAAGCUAAUCACCUUGAGUUCGAAUGACUUGAGGUCUCUGGUGAGCUGCUCAGCAUUGAUCCCCUCGCGCGCCAGCAACCUGCAGAUGCACAGCCGAAACCCUAAGUCCAAUCCAAAACACCAGAAGCGGCAAUCCUGAUUCGAACGAAACACGACGGGGAGAUGGGCAGAGAGGCUCUCUCAGAGUUAACUAAAGGGGUCCAGGAGAGCAACCUGGUGGCGGAGAGCGACUGUGACGGCGCCUCGGCGCGGAUCGUCUUGGCCUUGAGCUUGGUGGAGAGCACCUCGAGCUGGUCCAGGUUCCUCUGCGCGGGCCAACAACAACGAACCCAUCAGGCGGAAAAAAGCAAGGGAGGCUCGGGCGCGGCAAGAGAUAGAUGCGGGCGAGGAGGGCAAGGAAGAGCGCGAUGCAUCACCUGGAGGGCAGGGAAGUGAGGGGUGAGGGCGGCCUGCUCGAGGAGCUUGGUGGAGGUGUUGAGAAGCUCUGACCAGCCGCCCAUCUCCGUAUCUCCUCCGCCAUCGGCUCCGACGCCGGCCAUCGCCGCCGUAGAUGGAGGUGUUCACGGGGAGCUAUCUGUGCUCCGGCGCCGCGCUCGAACUGGGGGUUUUGGACUGGCG
rnacentral:lncRNA from 1 species